rnacentral:rRNA from 1 species
AAUCAACGCUGGCGGCGUGCCUAACACAUGCAAGUCGAACGAGAAAGCCGACUUCGGUUGGUGAGUAGAGUGGCGAACGGGUGAGUAACGCGUGGAUGAUCUGCCUGGUAGUGGGGGAUAACUCGGGGAAACCCGGGCUAAUACCGCAUACGCCCUUCGGGGGAAAGGUUUCGAUCGCUAUCAGAGGAAUCCGCGUCCGAUUAGCUAGUAGGUGAGGUAACGGCUUACCUAGGCUUCGAUCGGUAGCCGGUCUGAGAGGACGGACGGCCACACUGGGACUGAGACACGGCCCAGACUCCUACGGGAGGCAGCAGUGGGGAAUUUUGGGCAAUGGGCGCAAGCCUGACCCAGCAACGCCGCGUGGAGGAUGAAAGUUUUCGGAUUGUAAACUCCUGUCCGGAGGGACGAAGACAGUGACGGUACCUCUGGAGGAAGCCCCGGCUAACUCCG